AACGAACGCUGGCGGCGUGCCUAACACAUGCAAGUCGAGCGAGAAAAGGGGGGCAACUCCCUGAGUACAGCGGCGCACGGGUGAGUAACACGUAGGUAACCUGCCCUCGAGCCCGGAAUAACCUACCGAAAGGUGGGCUAAUACCAGAUAUGACCACGGGAGUUUCGGCUCCUGCGGUGAAAGGUGGCCUCUACCUGUAAGCUAUUACUCGAGGAUGGGCCUGCGUGCCAUUAGCUAGUUGGUGAGGUAACGGCUCACCAAGGCUAUGAUGGCUAGCUGGUCUGAGAGGAUGGCCAGCCACACUGGGACUGAAACACGGCCCAGACUCCUACGGGUGGCAG
rnacentral:rRNA from 1 species